GACCAUUUAAGCUCGAACCUCGGGAAAAGUUGGCCUCCACAGAAAAGAAUGCUUCCUUGGUUGCAGCACUUGAACAACAUGUGAGAAAACCCAGGAAAAGCUGUCCGACAGGCAUUUGGACUCUCACUUAAUGCUCAAGAUUUCGGUGAUUUCAGACAUUUAACCAACCAAUAUCUCCUACUUUUGACAACUUUGUCAAGAUCGGCCAGUUCCACUGUUCGAGCUCAUGGGAGAGAAGAGUACGAAACCAAAUCAACCGAUCUUUAAAAGUCGGGUCUCAAUCUGGUAUGCUGUUUACGUAUACUGUUCUUAUUUAGUACCACUGGGUAUAAGUAGAUAAAGUGGCUUGAUUUUCUCUUUCUUUUAAUCAAACUUGAUGUUGAACUUAUUUAGUACCACUGGGUAUAAGUAGAUAAAGUGGCUUGAUUUUCUUUUUCUUUUAAUCAAACUUGAUGUUGAACCGAAGUAUCGAUUCAAAGAGAACUUAGAAAUUGAUAUCAAAACUGGCUUUUAGAAAAUCUAGAACAGCAAAUCUAUAACUAUACCAUAUCAAUUAUUGUUUUUGGAUAUUCGUAAGGGUCUGAAAUAGUUUGCAUGCAUCCCGAUUGUUGUUACGAGACAAUCCACCAUACUCUGCUAUAUUUGUUGUAAGGAAACUCGUAAGAUAUUAAAUUCUAGAAAAGUGACUGGAUAGGACAUGGUGGUGGUGGGUGGUGCGCAUUAAAUGAGACUCGUCUCGUUAGGCUGUUCGUUUGAACGGUAAGUAAUUAUAACCAGACUCUCCCAAGACUCGUGACUAGGAAGUGCUUAUUGGAUGCUCUGUUGGAGCAGCUAUAUGUUUAUUGAUGGCGAAUUUUGAGUUGUUCUCCAUCAUGCUUGUUACGUGAGGCAAAGCAUCUUCAUACGGCUAUGCUUAAAGUCCAAGAUGAUAUUGCUGAAAAUUUAUUCCUACAAGAUGUGAUGGAGAUGGAGACAGAGACAUCUUAUCUUAAAGUAAGUUGAGAAUAAUAUUAUUAGGUAAUUCUUGACUUAAAAAAUUACUUUUCUUUUUCACUUUUAGUUGUUACAAAAGAAUAACCUUUGAUAAUUGUGUUAGAAUUUUUAGAAAAAUGAUGACUUGUCCAUUCUAGUUUGUUGAGUUAUAUGCUUGUA